rnacentral:rRNA from 1 species
UCCUACGGGAGGCAGCAGUAGGGAAUCUUCCGCAAUGGACGGAAAGUCUGACGGAGCAACGCCGCGUGAGUGAUGAAGGCUUUCGGGUCGUAAAACUCUGUUGUUAGGGAAGAACAAGUGCUAGUUGAAUAAGCUGGCACCUUGACGGUACCUAACCAGAAAGCCACGGCUAACUACGUGCCAGCAGCCGCGGUAAUACGUAGGUGGCAAGCGUUAUCCGGAAUUAUUGGGCGUAAAGCGCGCGCAGGUGGUUUCUUAAGUCUGAUGUGAAAGCCCACGGCUCAACCGUGGAGGGUCAUUGGAAACUGGGAGACUUGAGUGCAGAAGAGGAAAGUGGAAUUCCAUGUGUAGCGGUGAAAUGCGUAGAGAUAUGGAGGAACACCAGUGGCGAAGGCGACUUUCUGGUCUGUAACUGACACUGAGGCGCGAAAGCGUGGGGAGCAAACAGGAUUAGAUACCCUGGUAGUCCACGCCGUAAACGAUGAGUGCUAAGUGUUAGAGGGUUUCCGCCCUUUAGUGCUGAAGUUAACGCAUUAAGCACUCCGCCUGGGGAGUACGGCCGCAAGGCUGAAACUCAAAGGAAUUGACGGGGA